CUUCAUAAAAAUGUAUACGUUAGUGAAUAAGAAAGCAACGUUCCAAAAGAUAUUCCGUUGAAAACCAACAUAACAAAUCCAAUAAUCUUCGGAAGUAACAUAUGUGUUGGACUCUGUCAAAAUAUUCUAGAAAGAGACCAAGUCAAAUAGGAUUAGACUUUUCAAACACUAUAGCAAUUAUGAUUUCAUAAAAUCAGCCGCCACUAGUAUAGC
rnacentral:lncRNA from 1 species